rnacentral:rRNA from 1 species
AACGUAGGAGGCGAGCGUUAUCCGGAGUUACUGGGCGUAAAGCGCGUGUAGGCGGCUUUUUAAGUGUGCUGUGAAAUGUCCCGGCUCAACCGGGAAGGUGCGGCGCAGACUGGAGGGCUGGAGGGUGACAGAGGCAGGUAGAAUUCCGGGUGUAGUGGUGAAAUGCGUAGAGAUCCGGAGGAAUACCAGUGGCGUAAGCGGCCUGCUGGGUCACAACUGACGCUGAGACGCGAAGGCAUGGGGAGCGAACGGGAUUAGAAACCCCCGUAGUCC